rnacentral:lncRNA from 12 species
ACCUGAAAAAAAUGUCUAAAACCAGGUUUUGAAUGGAUUUCUUAUGCUGCACAUAGAUGUCUGGCAGUGGAGACAUGGAAUGGCACUUCCUGUACCUGUGCAGUUACAGAGCCAGGGACUAUCUGAUAGCUCCCAGAGCUCAGUCCAUGUCUCCAGGACUUCUGCAAAGUUGUUUUGCCAGUGUUCUGUUACUCAUCAGAUCAUGGGAUGUGGCAAGGUAUCAUUUCCCUUAUCAAUACACAAAUACAUAUUUUUUAAAAAGUGUUUUAUAGCACCAAUAAAUUUACUUAAGGAUUUUCCAAUUACUUCUUGUUAG